GUGUGGACUGUGACAUCGACGUUCCUAAAACCAUUCAGAUGGUACGGUCCCAGAGGUCAGGGAUGGUCCAGACAGAAGCACAGUACCGGUUCAUCUACAUGGCCGUCCAGCACUACAUAGAGACGCUGCAACGCAGGAUCGAGGAGGAGCAGGUAUGGAGUGGGAGCUCACACGUGGGCUCAGCUCCUGUCCAGGCUCCUGGACUUGUGCUCUUAGCGCCAGAGCAUGGGGUCUCUUCACUGGGGAAAUGUUAACAGUUGGCCUCCCUGGAAGCUGUGUCACCAUCCACUGCCUCCCAGUUCAGGGAGUGUGGAGCCAUCAUCAUGAGCUGGCAAGGCUCUGCCACCCACAAAGGAAGCAACUUUUACAUGCUAGGCUUAGAGCUCAGGGCCUACAGUUUCCAGCCCGACUCAGCUUUGCU
rnacentral:lncRNA from 1 species